GCCGGAGUGGCGGAAUGGCAGACGCGAUGGACUCAAAAUCCAUUGAGGUUUAACCUCGUGUGGGUUCAACUCCCACCUCCGGCA
rnacentral:tRNA from 1 species